rnacentral:rRNA from 1 species
AUUGAACGCUGGCGGCAUGCCUUACACAUGCAAGUCGAACGGCAGCACGGGGCAACCUGGUGGCGAGUGGCGAACGGGUGAGUAAUGCAUCGGAACGUACCAUUCCGUGGGGGAUAACGUAGCGAAAGUUACGCUAAUACCGCAUAUUCUCUCCGGAGGAAAGCAGGGGAUCGCAAGACCUUGCGCUGAUUGAGCGGCCGAUAUCAGAUUAGCUAGUUGGUGAGGUAAAGGCUCACCAAGGCGACGAUCUGUAGCGGGUCUGAGAGGAUGAUCCGCCGCACUGGAACUGAGACACGGUCCAGACUCCUACGGGAGGCAGCAGUGGGGAAUUUUGGACAAUGGGCGCAAGCCUGAUCCAGCCAUGCCGCGUGAGUGAAGAAGGCCUUCGGGUUGUAAAGCUCUUUCGGCCGGGAAGAAAUCGCAUGGGUUAAUACCCUGUGUGGAUGACGGUACCGGAAUAAGAAGCACCGGCUAACUCUGUGCCAGCCGCCGCCGUAAGAC